UGGCACAGUUUUAAGCGGGGAAGCCCUACUGCGUUUGCCCACCUCUCCUGGUACAUCGUGGUUCCAUCCUGGUUUGUGGUUCCAUCACAAUUCCAUUUUUAAAAAAUGUUUUUCAAUGAUAACCAACUGCUUUAUUUGGCUAUUUUUUUUCCCAAGUCGUGAAUUUAAUAUGCACCAUUUCUUCAACCAAACUAAAAAUCGACCUCAGUUGGCAACAUCGUGAUUAAGCUUACGAAUAAAAUUUGAAGCAAAGAUUCUGGUUCAGACACGUGUCUACUGCUGUACCAAAGUGUUUCGAUAGCUCAAGUUUAAUGGAAGACAUUUUUGGGAGGCGUAUCCGAAAGAAUGUUUAAACUGUAGAUCAGCUAAAGAAGUAGAUGUAAGAAAAGAAAUGGCUGAGAAAAGGAAAUUUUAGCUGUAAGGACUGUACAAUACUGCAGAGGUUCCUGUUAAUAAUCUACUUCAUGUUUUCAUUGUUUUUGGGAGCGUGGGAAAUGUGAUAUUUGUCACACACUCAAACAGACGAAUGAUAACAAGAACAUGGAGGAGUAGAGUGUUAUUUGUGCUGGAGCAGAUAAAGAAAUUAAAGUUGGGCAUCAAAAACUAGGCUUUACUUCAUGCACAAUGUGAUUUGGUUACCAGCUGUGCAGAACAGACUCAGUCCAUCCUCAAAAAGCCUAAGAUUAAAAUGGACUGGAAUUCCCAGAUGGCCCAUUCAUUUUAAAGAGUAACUGGGUUCUCCAGAUCUGACCAGAACGUUGAUUACCGACCUAGCGUGGGGAACAAGAAAUUAACGUUUCGUCGAUCAUCCGUGAAUCGCAGACUUUUCCCCUGUGGAGAAGUCAAGGUUCCGCAAUGUUCCCUGUACAUUGCAAUUUUUCAUCCAAACCUGUUCCAUUCACAUCAGCCUGCUGAGUGUAAAAGACAACUUUGUGGUUGAAAACUAAAUAAGUUUGAAAAUUUACACUGAACACUCUGUGCAGUUUUUAAGUGAAACUUUGAUUAUUGCUACGGCUUUGGUGUGAUGUGUUCCAUGAAUUGCGCAGGCGUCGCAAAUUAGCCGUGGUCAAUGGAUGAUUGGGUGACAGGUGAAGUGCCUUCAGCUAACCAUGGGAACGAGAGCGACGGCUCUACGGAAGUAAACCUCGGCUUCAACAUUCCGACUGGCGUCGUGCAGAGCGUGAGCGGCAGCCACGGUCCACGCAAUGCUGUCAGGUUCGAUUCGAACGACCUGGAUGUACACCUCUGCGGCUUCGUCGUGUCUCUUCCGGGCAGAUAGGAAUUCGCCUGUCAAAUUACAUGACGGCGGAUUGAUUUCUAUGCCGGAUCGGUACAGGUGUUCCUCGUCGAUCCAGUCGUUGUUCCUUUGGAUCGUUCGCCGUCCCGAAGCCAAUAAAACAAUCAGCAACGCAAAGCAGAUGAUUGUUCGAUUCGACUGCUGGACAAGUAAUUUUUGCACCCCGAUUCCGACGAGGAGACAGAAACCGACCGAAGUCUUACGGACGACCGUGACGAGAAUUGCGUAGAAAAUUAGCGUAGCCAUAUUGCGGAUGUCAUUAAUGCAAGUGACGGGCUGGAUGGCGUCCAUGGACCAAUCGAAACUGAGCCAUCGCGGAUACAGCAACAGACCAAAAUGAAAUACCUAAGCUACUGGUAAAUAGAGAAAUGUGAGGGUACGAGUUGUCCAUGACGACGAUGCAGCUGUUGGAUUGUCCGCCUUAGCAAAUUGCGGUCUCUGGAAGCCGGAUAUCCAAAAGCGAUUGUCGAGGAUGGCCGUGAAUGACGAGGACGACGUCGUAAAGGAGACAGAUGGGCGUCAACAUGAUGCCGUACUCUUUGCUGAAGAAAGCGGCACAAGUCAAAACCAACGUCAUCGUUAAACUAGCCCGUCUACCGUAGUUGACAAGGCCGGCUAGGACGAAGAAAGUGCAUAGCAAAUCUGCCCGUCCGACCAAUCCAGCCACAGCUUCGCAAUGGAUCGGGAAUAAUGUUGAUGCUCCUCCGGCUAUCAUGGUCACCGCAGCAGUAAUCACACAGUGAAGCAGGACGUUUGUCCAAUGGUACCAAUAGGCAUGAUUUACUCCGACCAGAUGUGCGGUCCAGCGAAAUGAUAGCGUUACCAAAGGGCGGUACGAUCCGUGCGAUUCGGAAGCGUUGAGCGGAGUGCCCCAAAAGUCAUGCACCAUCAGAGCGCUCAUGGUGGACGACUCGGAAGCAACGGUUUAUGGUUGUCUAAUAAAACGAAAAAGGAGCGGCCGUGGCAGUGAUACUGUGAUGAGCAUUUAGAUGAUAUCAGUUAAACGGCCGUACAAAAUACGCAACGGAAGGCCACAGUCGAAGAAUGCUCUAUGGCUAGCGGAAUAAAAAUAUUUCCACUUGAAUAUAUCAUAGCCGGCAGCGGAAAAAAAAAAUGGCUCGUGUGGAGAAUUGUUGUUGCUGGCAUUCGAUUGAGACUAAUCAAAAGGUAUGCCCCAGGCUGUGAUGAUCGUCCUAUCACGUCGCCUGAACGAACCCUGCAGGCAGUUUCCCGUCAACGCCGUUGAGUGACGAGGUUUGAUUUCCUCUUUGUCAAAUAAGAGUCUGGCAAUCGUCGCCGCUGCAGGCCGAUCUAUUAUGUCCAUCUAGCCACUUUGUCCUUGUUAUUAUUGCAUUUAAAAAAAAAAUAGCUUUUUCUAUCAAAAUCGAUCUAGACAGGUUUUUGUUGAUCCUAGACGGUACAGAUACCAUUUGGUACAGUUUCGUGUUUUGCGUUAGGUCGCUAGGGUUUGCUUUUAGAUUGUGUUGAUAUUACGCAUAGGGGAGGCCUACCAUGAUAGCAAGUUAGUGCAAGUUCGAUUCACAUUUUCAUUUUGUUGAUGGAAUGGAUGAAAAUGGAUUACAUACUGAUCGAUUUUCACCCAUCCGUGCUAAUAUCUUAGCUGAGUGCGGAAAGUUUUGUCAUCGACCAUCCAUGUCCAGCACAAUUCAAUUGAAUUUGUUUGAUGAAGAAUUAUUGUUGCUCCACAUAGUUCCAAAAUGCUUUUAAACUUCAAACGUCGAUAAAGUCAUGGCGAACAUUUUUGAGGUGACGAUGCGGCUCUGAAUGAACGCUUUUAGAGCACACACAAAAAACUAAAAGCAAUUGAAUAGAAGGGGAGAUUUGCCUCGUGUCUCUAAAACGGAAGAAGGGAAGUUGAAUUUUGUCUAUUGGGAGUAGGUGAUUGGCAUAUUCGCCUGCAAUCGGAACUUGAAUUUUCUCGUAACAGGCAAUCGGGAGCUACAUUUGAAAUCGAUUUCUACGAGAAGAGCUAAUCAUCGCUCCCCCCAUUUUCAAGUGAAAAGUCUCCAAUAACUAGUCAGUUGGUAUCCUGUAUACAUGUUACAUGCACAGUUGUUAAUACGUGCAAUAAUGGCAUCUAUGCAGGAAAUGUACAGCGGGAGCGGUGUGGUAACUAGCUGCAUAAGUCACAACCCUCUGGAACGUUAUGUACAUGUAAAGCUUGCAUUAAAUUGUAAUCUUAGUAACGAGGGGGAACAAUGAAAAGUUUUGUCGCUUCUCGAAAACAAAAAAAAAAGAGGGGAUUUAGUUCUUUAUGUCAAAAUAGUGGCCACGGGAAAAGAGAGGCGCUAAAUUCUGUUUGUUUGUCGCUGAGACCUACGACGAAUUCGCUAAUAUAAUUAUGAUUUAAAUUUUUGAAAAGGAUAGAAUUUCGUGGGAAAGCCCUGUUGGCCGCCAAAUUCGGUGACAUCUAGGGGAGAAGCCACCAACUCCUUAAAAGUUGCAUUGGCAUGUCAUUCACUGUCGCCUGCCGUUGACUGAGGAUGGUUGUCAAAAUGGAUGUCGCCUUCAUUGAAAUUUAUCAUCUACCGAUUCUGUUUGUCUUGAGGUCUCCCCGAUGUACCUGACUGUGUUGGCCAUGUGAUCACCCUGUGCCAGAAACGACUACAACUAUUUUUAUAUUGUAGUGUAAAUAAAAUAUAUCCACAACAA